UACGAAGGGGGCUAGCGUUGCUCGGAUUGACUGGGCGUAAAGGGCGCGUAGGCGGUUCGUACAGUCAGACGUGAAAUUCCUGGGCUCAACCUGGGGGCUGCGUUUGAUACGUGCGGACUUGAGUGCGGAAGAGGGUCGUGGAAUUCCCAGUGUAGAGGUGAAAUUCGUAGAUAUUGGGAAGAACACCGGUGGCGAGGGCGGCGACCUGGUCCGAUACUGACGCUGAGGCGCGAAAGCGUGGGGAGCAAACAGG
rnacentral:rRNA from 1 species